AAAACAACUCUCGGCAACGGAUAUCUCGGCUCUCGCAUCGAUGAAGAACGUAGCGAAAUGCGAUACUUGGUGUGAAUUGCAGAAUCCCGUGAACCAUCGAGUCUUUGAACGCAAGUUGCGCCCAAAGCCUUCGGGCUAAGGGCACGUCUGCCUGGGCGUCACGC
rnacentral:rRNA from 1 species